UGGGGAAUUUUGGACAAUGGGCGAAAGCCUGAUCCAGCAAUGCCGCGUGUGUGAAGAAGGCCUUCGGGUUGUAAAGCACUUUUGUCCGGAAAGAAAUCCUUGGCUCUAAUACAGUCGGGGGAUGACGGUACCGGAAGAAUAAGCACCGGCUAACUACGUGCCAGCAGCCGCGGUAAUACGUAGGGUGCAAGCGUUAAUCGGAAUUACUGGGCGUAAAGCGUGCGCAGGCGGUUUGCUAAGACCGAUGUGAAAUCCCCGGGCUCAACCUGGGAACUGCAUUGGUGACUGGCAGGCUAGAGUAUGGCAGAGGGGGGUAGAAUUCCACGUGUAGCAGUGAAAUGCGUAGAGAUGUGGAGGAAUACCGAUGGCGAAGGCAGCCCCCUGGGCCAAUACUGACGCUCAUGCACGAAAGCGUGGGGAGCAAACAGGAUUAGAUACCCUGGUAGUCCACGCCCUAAACGAUGUCAACUAGUUGUUGGGGAUUCAUUCCUUAGUAACGUAGCUAACGCGUGAAGUUGACCGCCUGGGGAGUACGGUCGCAAGAUUAAAACUCAAAUGAACUGACGGGGUCAUAGCUGUUUCCU
rnacentral:rRNA from 1 species